rnacentral:rRNA from 1 species
GACGAACUUUGGCGGCGUGCUUAACACAUGCAAGUCGAACGGUAAGGCUCCAGCUUGCUGGGGUACACGAGUGGCGAACGGGUGAAUAACACGUGGGUGACCUGCCCUGCACUUCGGGAUAAGCCUGGGAAACUGGGUCUAAUACCGGAUAGGACCGCACCGUGAGGGUGUGGUGGAAAGUUUUUUCGGUGUGGGAUGGGCCCGCGGCCUAUCAGCUUGUUGGUGGGGUAAUGGCCUACCAAGGCGGCGACGGGUAGCCGGCCUGAGAGGGUGGACGGCCACAUUGGGACUGAGACACGGCCCAGACUCCUACGGGAGGCAGCAGUGGGGAAUAUUGCACAAUGGGCGGAAGCCUGAUGCAGCGACGCCGCGUGGGGGAUGACAGCCUUCGGGUUGUAAACUCCUUUCACCAUCGACGAAGGGUUUCUGACGGUAGAUGGAGAAGAAGCACCGGCUAACUACGUGCCAGCAGCCGCGGUAAUACGUAGGGUGCGAGCGUUGUCCGGAAUUACUGGGCGUAAAGAGCUCGUAGGUGGUUUGACGCGUCGUCUGUGAAAUUCCGGGGCUUAACUCCGGGCGUGCAGGCGAUACGGGCAUAACUUGAGUACUGUAGGGGAGACUGGAAUUCCUGGUGUAGCGGUGAAAUGCGCAGAUAUCAGGAGGAACACCGGUGGCGAAGGCGGGUCUCUGGGCAGUAACUGACGCUGAGGAGCGAAAGCAUGGGGAGCGAACAGGAUUAGAUACCCUGUUAGUCCAUGCCGUAAGCGGUGGGCGCUAGGUGUGGGUUUCCUUCCACGGGAUCCGUGCCGUAGCUAACGCAUUAAGCGCCCCGCCUGGGGAGUACGGCCGCAAGGCUAAAACUCAAAGGAAUUGACGGGGGCCCGCACAAGCGGCGGAGCAUGUGGAUUAAUUCGAUGCAACGCGAAGAACCUUACCUGGGCCUGACAUAUACAGGAUCGCGCCAGAGAUGGUGUUUCCCUUGUGGCUUGUAUACAGGUGGUGCAUGGUUGUCGUCAGCUCGUGUCGUGAGAUGUUGGGUUAAGUCCCGCAACGAGCGCAACCCUUGUCUUAUGUUGCCAGCACGUUGUGGUGGGGACUCGUAAGAAACUGCCGGGGUUAACUCGGAGGAAGGUGGGGAUGACGUCAAAUCAUCAUGCCCCUUAUGUCCAGGGCUUCACACAUGCUACAAUGGUCGGUACAGUGGGUUGCCAGUCCGUGAGGGCGAGCUAAUCCCGCAAAGCCGGUCUCAGUUCGGAUCGGGGUCUGCAACUCGACCCCGUGAAGUCGGAGUCGCUAGUAAUCGCAGAUCAGCAACGCUGCGGUGAAUACGUUCCCGGGCCU